UACAGAGGGUGCGAGCGUUAAUCGGAAUUACUGGGCGUAAAGCGUGCGUAGACGGUUAUUUAAGUCGGGUGUGAAAGCCCCGGGCUCAACCUGGGAAUUGCAUUCGAGACUGAAUAGCUAGGGUACGGUAGAGGGAAGCGGAAUUUCCGGUGUAGCGGUGAAAUGCGUAGAUAUCGGAAGGAACAUCAGUGGCGAAAGCGGCUUCCUGGACCAGUACCGACGUUCAGGCACGAAAGCUAGGGGAGCAAACAGG
rnacentral:rRNA from 1 species